rnacentral:rRNA from 1 species
GAUGAACGCUGGCGGCGUGCCUAACACAUGCAAGUCGAACGGAGUCCAGCCUUUAAGACCUUCGGGUCAAAGAGGGGAAGACUGAGUGGCGGACGGGUGAGUAACACGUGGGCAACCUGGCUCAUAGAGGGGGAUAACAGAGAGAAAUUUCUGCUAAUACCGCAUAAGCACACACUGCCGCAUGGCAGAGGGUGAAAAGAGAAUCGCUAUGAGAUGGACCCGCGUCUGAUUAGCCAGUUGGCAGGGUAAGAGCCUACCAAAGCGACGAUCAGUAGCCGAUCUGAGAGGAUGAACGGCCACAUUGGGACUGAGACACGGCCCAAACUCCUACGGGAGGCAGCAGUGGGGGAUAUUGCACAAUGGGGGGAACCCUGAUGCAGCGACGCCGCGUGAGUGAAGAAGUAUUUCGGCAUGUAAAGCUCUAUCAGCAGGGAAGAUAAUGACAGUACCUGAAUAAGAAGCCCCGGCUAACUACGUG